AGCUUUGCGCAGUGGCAGUAUCGUAGCCAAUGAGGUUUAUCCGAGGCGCGAUUAUUGCUAAUUGGAAUUGACAGUUGAGUGGCCUUAAGUAUCACAAAAGGUGGUGUUCCUGAAGCCUUUAUUUAUUUUUAAAGAU
rfam:Canis lupus familiaris chromosome X, whole genome shotgun sequence.